UACGUAGGGAGCAAGCGUUGUCCGGAAUCAUUGGGCGUAAAGCGCGCGUAGGUGGCCUCGUAAGUCCGCUGUGAAAGUCAAAGGCUCAACCUUUGAAAGCCGGUGGAUACUGUGAGGCUAGAGUACGGAAGAGGCGAGUGGAAUUCCUGGUGUAGCGGUGGAAUGCGCAGAUAUCAGGAGGAACACCUAUGGCGAAGGCAGCUCUCUGGGACGGUACUGACGCUGAGACGCGAAAGCGUGGGGAGCGAACAGG
rnacentral:rRNA from 1 species